rnacentral:rRNA from 1 species
UACGUAGGUGGCAAGCGUUAUCCGGAUUUACUGGGUGUAAAGGGCGUGUAGGCGGGUCUGCAAGUCAGAUGUGAAAUUCCAGGGCUCAACCCUGGAACUGCAUUUGAAACUGUAGAUCUUGAGUGAUGGAGAGGCAGGCGGAAUUCCGUGUGUAGCGGUGAAAUGCGUAGAUAUACGGAGGAACACCAGUGGCGAAGGCGGCCUGCUGGACAUUAACUGACGCUGAGGCGCGAAAGCGUGGGGAGCAAACAGG